rnacentral:tRNA from 1 species
AUCUUUCUAGUACUAAGCAGUACGCGUGACUUCCAAUUACUCAGUCUUGGUUAAAAUCCAAGGAAAGAUA